GAGACAAUUGGAUCGUUUAUUGGAGGAAAGAGGAGAGAGAAUUGUCGCGGUAGUGGUGGUCUUGGAGGCUAUGUUACCUGGACUCUUGCACCCAUGGCUGACAUGGGUACGUGUACAAGUGUCUGACUUAGAUAAUCUAUGAAAAUUUUUCAAUGAUUUUGGCCCAAAAUGAAGUAUCCAAGUGUCCGAGUCCACGUCCGAGUGUUAAUUCCACCAUUGAUGCUAAGAGGAGAGAGAAUGAGGAGGUAAAGAGGGAGAAAGGAAA